UGGGAUAACUUCGGGAAACCGGAGCUAAGACCGGAAAACAUAUUGAACCCCACGGUUCAAUAGUGAAUUGCGGCUUUGCGGUCACUUAUACAUGGAUCCGCCCCGUAUUAGCUGUUUGGUAAGGUAACGGCUUACCAAGGCAACGAUACGUAACCGACCUGAGAGGGUGAUGGGCCACACUGGAACUGAAACACGGUCCAGACUCCUACGGGAGGCAACAUUAGGGAAUCUUCCCCAAUGGGCGAAAGCCUGACGGAGCAACGCCGCGUGAGUGAUGAAGGUCUUCCGAUCUUAAAACUCUGUUAUCCGGGAAUAACAAAUGUGUAAGUAACUGUGCACAUCUUGACGGUACCUGAUCACAAAGCCACGGCUAAGUACGUGCCAUCAUGCCGCGGUAAUACGUAGGUGGCAAGCGUUAUUCCGGGAAUUAUUGGGCGUAAAGCGCGCGUAGGCGGUUUUUUAAGUCUGAUGUGAAAAGCCCACGGCUCAACUGUGGGAGGGUCAUUGGAAACUGGAAAACUUGAGUGCAGAAGAGGAAAGUGGAAUUCCAUGUGUAGCGGUGAAAUGCGCAGAGAUAUGGAGGAACACCAGUGGCGAAGGCGACUUUCUGGUCUGUAACUGACGCUGAUGUGCGAAAGCGUGGGGAUCAAACAGGAUUAGAUACCCUGGUAGUCCACGCCGUAAACGAUGAGUGCUAAGUGUUAGGGGGUUUCCGCCCCUUAGUGCUGCAGCUAACGCAUUAAGCACUCCGCCUGGGGAGUACGACCGCAAGGUUGAAACUCAAAGGAAUUGACGGGGACCCGCACAAGCGGUGGAGCAUGUGGUUUAAUUCGAAGCAACGCGAAGAACCUUACCAAAUCUUGACAUCCUUUGACCGCUCUAGAGAUAGAGUCUUCCCCUUCGGGGGACAAAGUGACAGGUGGUGCAUGGUUGUCGUCAGCUCGUGUCGUGAGAUGUUGGGUUAAGUCCCGCAACGAGCGCAACCCUUAAGCUUAGUUGCCAUCAUUAAGUUGGGCACUCUAAGUUGACUGCCGGUGACAAACCGGAGGAAGGUGGGGAUGACGUCAAAUCAUCAUGCCCCUUAUGAUUUGGGCUACACACGUGCUACAAUGGACAAUACAAAGGGCAGCUAAACCGCGAGGUCAAGCAAAUCCCAUAAAGUUGUUCUCAGUUCGGAUUGUAGUCUGCAACUCGACUACAUGAAGCUGGAAUCGCUAGUAAUCGUAGAUCAGCAUGCUACGGUGAAUACGUUCCCGGGUCUUGUACACACCGCCCGUCACACCACGAGAGUUUGUAACACCCGAAGCCGGUGGAGUAACCAUUUAUGGAGCUAGCCGUCGAAGGUGGGACAAAUGAUU
rnacentral:rRNA from 1 species